UGUUAAAAAAUAAACAGAAAUUGCCCCAUGGAAAUAAAAAAAAUAUAAAGAAAACAAAUUUAUAUUGCUUUUUUUUCUUAGUGAAGAUGUUAAUGGGGUAAAAGUAACUGAUGGAUGAAAAUAGCUUUUAAUAUAUGCAGUUUCCUCAUUUUCUCCUCCUUUCUCUUACAAAUUGCCCACAGCUAACUUUGCAACAUCAACACUAUUAUCUAACAAUGUUCUUCCUCUUCUUCAAACCGGUGUCCCAUGUUAAGAGUUAGGGUUGUCCUUAACUUUUCUGUUCGCUUGCUUAACAUGUUGUACCAGUCUAUACCUGUCCAGCUAUUCCAGGGUGUGCCUACAUCAUAAAUUCAGACAGAGCAGAGAGUUUCUUCAGAAGUGGACUUAUCAAGGCAACAGUGUUGUUAAUUUGAAGAACAAUGGCAGAUACAAACCCAGAUAAAAUCCCUCAGUGCGAAAAGAGCAAACCAUGCCACGGUGAAGGCAAGGGUGAAGGCAAGGGUGAAGGCAAGGGAAAAGGACCAGGACAAGGGCAAGGUCAAGGCAAGGGUCAGGGUCAUGGUCACGGACACGGUCACGGUCACGGACCUGGAAAGGAUGGAAAGGAUGGCAAAGGCAAACCAUAAUGACAAGGAGCUGAAUGAAGAGACGUCUGAAGUCUGUCUGAUGCUGUUUUUUUCUUGCACCAUGACUAAUAAACUAAAACAUGUAUAAUUAUACCACAUAUGUUUGUUUUUAAUUAAAUGAUCAUCAAUAAAGUGUUUGGUAUCAAAUAA